rnacentral:misc_RNA from 1 species
GAUGAAGAACGCAGUGAAAUGCGAUACGUAAUGUGAAUUGCAAAUUCAGUGAAUCAUCGAGUCUUUGAACGCACAUUGCGCCCCCUGGUAUUCCGGGGGGCAUGCCUGUCCGAGCGUCAUUGCUGCCCUCAAGCACGGCUUGUGUGUUGGGCCCCGUCCUCCGAUCCCGGGGGACGGGCCCGAAAGGCAGCGGCGGCACCGCGUCCGGUCCUCGAGCGUAUGGGGCUUUGUCACCCGGUCUGUAGGCCCGGCCGGCGCUUGCCGAUCAACCCAAAUUUUUAUCCAGGUUGACCUCGGAUCAGGUAGGGAUACCCGCUGAACUUAAGCAUAUCAAUAAGCGGAGGA